ACCUGGUGAUGUGGGAAUUUAUGAAGCAGGUCCCUAAAGAACUCCCAAGUGUCGAAAAAGAGUUCACCAUCCAUCUGUGAGAAACUUGUGAUGGCUCUCCGAAGUU